GACGAACGCUGGCGGCGUGCCUAAUACAUGCAAGUUGAGCGCUGAAGGUUGGUACUUGUACCGACUGGAUGAGCAGCGAACGGGUGAGUAACGCGUGGGGAAUCUGCCUUUGAGCGGGGGACAACAUUUGGAAACGAAUGCUAAUACCGCAUAAAAACUUUAAACACAAGUUUUAAGUUUGAAAGAUGCAAUUGCAUCACUCAAAGAUGAUCCCGCGUUGUAUUAGCUAGUUGGUGAGGUAAAGGCUCACCAAGGCGAUGAUACAUAGCCGACCUGAGCGGGUGAUCGGCCAAAUUGGGAAUGGGACACGGCCCAAACCCCUACGGGAGGCAGCAGGAGGGAAUCUUCGGCAAUGGACGAAAGGCUGACCGAGCAACGCCGCGGGAGGGAAGAAGGGUGUCGGAUCGUAAAACUCUGUUGGUAGGGAAGAACGUUGGUGAGAGUGGAAAGCUCAUCAAGUGACGGUAACUACACAGAAAGGGACGGCUAACUACGUG
rnacentral:rRNA from 1 species